GAUGAACGCUCGCUACAGGCUUAACACAUGCAAGUCGAGGGGCAGCAUGGUCUUAGCUUGCUAAGGCCGAUGGCGACCGGCGCACGGGUGAGUAACACGUAUCCAACCUGCCGUCUACUCUUGGACAGCCUUCUGAAAGGAAGAUUAAUACAAGAUGGCAUCAUGAGUCCGCAUGUUCACAUGAUUAAAGGUAUUCCGGUAGACGAUGGGGAUGCGUUCCAUUAGAUAGUAGGCGGGGUAACGGCCCACCUAGUCUUCGAUGGAUAGGGGUUCUGAGAGGAAGGUCCCCCACAUUGGAACUGAGACACGGUCCAAACUCCUACGGGAGGCAGCAGUGAGGAAUAUUGGUCAAUGGGCGCAGGCCUGAACCAGCCAAGUAGCGUGAAGGAGGACUGCCCUAUGGGUUGUAAACUUCUUUUAUAAAGGAAUAAAGUCGGGUAUGUAUACCCGUUUGCAUGUACUUUAUGAAUAAGGAUCGGCUAACUCCGUG
rnacentral:rRNA from 1 species